AUUUUUUCAAAGUGACAGACACAUUGGAUUAACCUAUGGAUUAACCUUCAGCUGCGUUUUUCUCGUCUUAAUGCCAUUGAACAGAACUUUUGAUCAGAAUAACAGCAACAGAUGUAAACACCUGCUACCACCAUCACAAUCAAGAUCACCAGCAGGACCAGAGGCACAAUGAUAGCUAUGCUUCCUGAGAGACACACAGAGGAGAGAUGACCUACUACUGGAGAGAGUCGGAGAGGCCUGACAUCAGCUUUUAACUGCAAGGAGGAACAGCACGAUAUGUUCAGAAUGGCAAGCUUUGAAGGGGCUUUGAAACCAUUUUUAUCUGCCUAAAAACCUUAAGCUCCAGUGAGGUGUCACAUCGUAAGAUGGCGUACUAGCACUCAGCCCCCUGCUGGGCCAUGGGCUCCAUGCAGUGACAUCAAACCUUCCCUCAACUUAAGGAUUUCUUUCCAGAGGAAGACAUCUAUCUUGUUCUCUGAGCAGGGACAUCGUACCCCUUGGUGAUUUUCAGUGUUGCAUCUAAAGCCAUGAUUUCUGGUGCGCAGAACCAGCAAUUGAAUGGAAACAGUGAGUGUGAAUAAUAGUGGAGAAAAUUCUAUUUUUUUUCUUUUUCCCCCACUUUCCUUCACCCAUUAAGCAGUGACUUACUGACAGAAAGGCAAGUUGGUGUCGGGGUCCAGGUGACAGGUGCCUCCAUUGUAGCAAUAUCCGUCACACAGCUGACAGCUCGGUGCUAUUCUGCCAUUUGUGCAACUGGAGGGUGAAGAAAUAAUGGAAUGCUAGUGACAAGCAGAAAACCACACUUUUACAGAAAAGAUAAAUGAGUCAGUGUCUGACAUAUGCAUAUUUAUAUAAACCGGGGGAGUUCGAAUUCAUUGACAUACCAGACACUAAAUUGCUGUAGGGUUAGUUAACUUAUACAUAUUUCAGAUUUAAUCAAAUCAAUUCAUUCAGACUUCAGCCUGCGGAUACAGCUACUGGAACCUGGGGAUACUCUGCAGAGCUGAUGCU